CCAGCCCGCUCAGAAACUACAAAGGAAUUGACGGGGCCCGCACAAGCGGUGGAGUAUGUGGUUUAAUUCGAUGCAACGCGAAGAACCUUACCUGGUCUUGACAUCCCGGAGACCCUUAGGAACUAGGGGUGCUUCCAUCUGGAAGAAUCUGGAGACAGGUGCUGCAUGGCUGUCGUCAGCUCGUGUCGUGAGAUGUUGGGUUAAGUCCCGCAACGAGCGCAACCCUUGCCUUUAGUUGCCAGCAGUUCGGCUGGGCACUCUAAAGGGACUGCCGGUGUUAAACCGGAGGAAGGUGGGGAUGACAUCAAGUCCUCAUGGCCUUUAUGACCAGGGCUACACACGUACUACAAUGGCCGAUACAAAGGGCAGCGACACUGCGAGGUGAAGCCAAUCCCGUAAAAUCGGUCUCAGUCCGGAUUGGAGUCUGCAACUCGACUCCAUGAAGUUGGAAUCGCUAGUAAUCGUGGAUCAGCAUGCCACGGUGAAUACGUUCCCGGGCCUU
rnacentral:rRNA from 1 species